rnacentral:misc_RNA from 1 species
AAGAAAAAGAAUCCUCCACCCAAUGGGUACUCAACUUCAAAAGUCAAACCCAAAAAAAGGAGAAGACUGAAAGCCCUAAUCCCCAAAAAGUGAAGUCAAUGCAGAAAUGAGAAUGAAAGCAAAAGGGUCAGGGAAAAAAGGUAUUUUUGUGGGUAGUUACAAUUCUCUUUGACAAUAGAGAAUGGGAAAUGGAAGAAGAGAGGAAAGAAAGUUCAAAGUUGGCACAAAUUUGAUAAUGAAAUUCAACGGAGGAAUGGUGUAGGUAAAGCAGUCAUUGAAGAAGAAGAGAGUUGGUCAAAGCUUCAUCUGCCUUUCACUCUUGGUCUAUUCUUUAUUGGAAACAUACAAAAUUGCAGGUUGGAUUAUACAAUUCUUGAUAUAAUCAUUUCGGAA